GACAGUUUUAUAACCUGCGUAUUCGAUGUGUGGACAUUGAGAUAAUAAUAGUGCAACGAUAAAUUAACAGUUCGAGCGAGAAUACUCUGUAUCGACAGUUAAUGUUGGUGAAAAUAUUAGUGAAGAUAUAAUAUAUCAAACAUUUAUAUAUGGUGUCGCCGAUAUUAAAAAUGAAAUAUUAACCAAAAAUCGCCGCAUUUAACCUUAUAUAUAUCAAAUACUGCAUAGCUUUGUAAAGUCACCGUUUUUUUACAACUGUUCUUAUCACGAUGCGAGGUUUAGUUGAUCAAUCUUGCGAUUUUGAUUUGAAAUUAUAGUGAGGAAAAUCAUCGCAGAACAAAAGGCACACAAACAAAACUUUUUGAGAAGACUUUCUUAAAAAAGAUUGUGUGUUGACGUAAAAUGGAAACUGUGAAAUACUAUGCGAAUUUCAUAGAUCCUCACUGGAUUACUGUAGUAGCAACAGGAUUAUAUACUCAUUUGCGACAAAUCUGUAUAAUUGGUCUGUGUUUUGAGGAGGAGAACGCUUUGCCUUUCGAUCCAUCAUACGCGUCGGUACUAUUUGUGUUCUCAGUUUUGUGUCUAUUAGCGGAAUACAGACUAUGGCCUAUAACUCUUAAAGAACCACCAAUCCAACUAUUAUACAUUUACGAAAUGUUAAUAGCUGCAUUGAGCACGAAUUUAGCAAUCCAUAUGGUAUGGGUACCAAUGAUGCAUGCAAUUUUCUGUCUAACUCAUGAAUCUAAUAAGUGGUUAAUGUGGUUGAAUAGAACUAUGGGUCUCGAUAGUUAUUCUUGGUUAUAUUCCUUUGCGGAUUACAUGGCUACAGACUACGCAGCCACGUACAUGGCAUUUUGCAUGUCAUUAUUGUCAUUUGUGUGGAUGUUAGACGCCACUGAAACACUGGACACGUUUCUGGAUACGUGGAGCAAGUAGUGAAUUUUGAAAACUUCAAAUCUUAUCCGCAAAAUUGUCAGACAUGUAAUAAAAUUACACAGCAGUUUAUCAACUCAUAUGUGCAAUUCACGAAUGCAGGACAUCCCAAACGUAAAAAGGUUACCUUCAG